rnacentral:rRNA from 1 species
UAAUACGGAGGGUCCGAGCGUUAUCCGGAUUUAUUGGGUUUAAAGGGUGCGCAGGCGGGAUGUUAAGUCAGUUGUGAAAGUUGGACGCUCAACGUUCAAAUUGCAAUUGAAACUGGCAUUCUUGAGUGCAGUGGAGGUAAGCGGAAUUCGUGGUGUAGCGGUGAAAUGCUUAGAUAUCACGAAGAACUCCGAUUGCGAAGGCAGCUUGCUAUACUGCAACUGACGCUCAUGCACGAAGGUGUGGGUAUCAAACAGGAUUAGAUACCCUGGUAGUCCACACAGUAAACGAUGAAUACUCGCUGUUGGCGAUAUACUGUCAGCGGCCAAGCGAAAGCAUUAAGUAUUCCACCUGGGGAGUACGCCGGCAACGGUG